rnacentral:rRNA from 1 species
GAUGAACGCUGGCGGCGUGCUUAACACAUGAAAGUCGAACGGAAAGGCCCAAGUUUGCUUGGAUUCUCGAGUGGCGAACGGGUGAGUAACACGUGGGUGAUCUGCCCUGCAAUUCGGGAUAAGCCUUGGAAAAUGGGUCUAAUAACGGAUAGGACCACAUUUUGGAUGGUGUGGUGGAAAGUUUUUCGGUGUGGGAUGAGCUCGCGGACUAUCAGUUUGUUGGUGGGGUAAUGGCCUACCAAUGCGUCGACGGGUAGCCGGCAUGUGAGGGUGGACGGGCUCAUUGGGACUGAGAUACAGCCCAGACUCGCACGGGAUGCAGCAGUGGGGAAGAUUACACAAUAAGCGGAAACCAGUCGCAGCGACGCCGCGUGGGGGAUGACGGCCUUCGGGUUGGAAUCUCCUUUCUCUAGGGACGAUUCGUUAUGUGACGGUACCGGGAGAAGAAGCACAGGCUAGCUACGUG